CUUGGCUGCACCUCCCUACAGAAGUAUGUGGCUGCUUUGAUCAGAACUCUAUUGUAGAGCUUGUAGAGAACACAGCAACAGAGCAAGUGUUUACUCUAAAUUGAGUAAAUUGGCUAAUGUUAGCCAAAGGGCCGCUGUUGAUUCUGCUGACUGUAGAGGCUCCUACUCAUUCUGGAGGGCACGCUAAAAUUUGCAUCCAUUUGAACUUCAAAGAAGAGACUCUUCUUCAGUGGACUUCUUAACCACCAGAUCUGAAUCCAACCGAGCACCUUUGGGAUGUGGUACAACGGGAGAUUCACGGUUUGAAUGUGCAGCUGACAAAUCUGUAGCGGUUAUACUGUAUGAUGCAAUCAUGUCAACAUGGACCAGAAUCUCAAAGGAAUAUUUCCAACAUCUUCUGGAUUCCAGGCCAUGACGAAGACUGUUCUGAGAGCAAGGGGAGUCAUAUUGAAUACGGUAUCACUGCAUUUCACUUAACAUUUGUCUCAUGUAUUGAAGGGGGGGGGGGGAAACUACCCAUGUCAUGCCCCUCCAUAAAUGUGGAGACCCAGCUGAUGUAACAAAUUAUUAUAAGCUCAUUUCUAAGCUCCUACACACAGCUAAAAUAUUAGUCUUUAGUUCAUUCACAAUAACCUGCUGUCAUCAACAACAGUAUAUCAACAUUCUUCAGCCUCAGCAGUCAGGGUUCAGGCCAGAACACAGCUCUCUCACAGCUGCCCCCUGCUGCACUCUUUGUUGAUCUCUAAAAAUCAUUCGAAACUGUCGACCAUGAUAUCUUAAUGAACAGAACUGUCUCAUUUGGGUUUGGAACAAGCUCUCCCUGAUCUGGUUUGGUACCUACCUUACUGGGAGGGCAUAAACAGUUGUUGGUUGGUUGGAUGGUUUCAUAUCACAGUUCCAUGUCAUCUGUAAUGGUGUCCCACAAGGGCCAAUCAUAGGCCUGUUGUUAUUCACCAUAUACGGGUGUAUAUAAAGAAAAAGCUCACGGAAAUCAAACAUCCAGUAUCUAAAAAUAAUUGAUUAAAGAAUUUAUAAUACAGAAAUGUCAACCUUGUGGAAAGUGUGUUCAUUUAUGCACCGAUACUCGGUCGGGGUUUUAAUUCUUUUGUAUGAAUGACUGCGUGAACGCGGCGGGUCUUCUCAGGUCAACAUUUCUCUAUUAUAAAUUCUUUAUUCGAAUAUUUUGAGAAACUGGAUGCUUGAUUUCCAUGAGCCGUAAACCGUAAUCAUCGAGAUUAAAACAACAACAAACAAACAAACAAAAAAAAAACGGCUUGAAAUAUUUCACUUUAUGUGUACACGGUAUUUCAUUAUCUACAAUAUAUGAAAGUUCCACUUUUUAAAUAAACUUUCCCACGACGUUCAAAUUUUUUGAGAUGCACCUGUAUUUUAGCAAUGUAAUCAGACCCCUCCGAUUGUCCCUUUUAUGCUAAUGAUACAGUCACCUGGACUGACACUAGAUCACGCUGUCAACUACAGUCGAUUAGUAACUCCCUGCAGUCUUCUCAUUCACACAUGAAGAAAAGCCUAUCUUGUGAUUUGAUUGUAUUUCAUCAAUACAUUUCAGAUUUUCUUCAAUGAUUCCACUGUGUAUGUCGUAUUCUCUCUACUAGCCCUUUUACAGUGAUGUAUUUACGUGCAGUACCAUAAUGAACCAUACCACAUAUUUUGUACUGCAGUAUUUAAUGAUUGUAGACACAACUACACAGUUAAACCGCCAGUAUCUUGUCUGUGGGUGAUCUAAAUGAAUGUUCCUAUGGUAUUUCAUUAUAAAUGAGUUAUUUGAACCAAUGAUCCUGCAACUGAUGAUUUUUUUCUUCCCAAACUACAGUCAAGUCAUUACCAUAGUGCCUUGCUUUAAAAAAAAUUAAACAAACAAAACCUUAUAUAUAUAUAUACAC
ensembl:lncRNA